CAGAGCUGGAGUCAGGUUACACUUUCUCCAGAGAGUCUUUCCAGAAACUAGCCCUCCUCCAACUGGCUUAGUUCCGUCCACUGGGAGCGCACAGACCUCUGUAUCUAGCCCCAUUGUAGCAUGUGUCACUCUGUAUUGAAAUUGUCUAUAUAUGUGUCUGUUUCUCCUCUAGGUGCAAGAUUCCUGUGGCCAGGGAUGGUGCCCUGUUCAGGAUGGGAACCUGAGUGCCUAGCACAGUGCCUGACACAGGAGAGGGACCAAAUUAUUUGUUGUUUGAAACCGAGGACCAUCAGAGAAAAAUAGGGAUAAUUAAAUGUUUAUUAUCGUAACCAGAGAUCUUCUGAAUGUGGUCAGAAGAAUCAGCACCACCUUCAAUUCUUCUUGCUUAGUCAUCUGUUUUGUCAGUAUUUCAACAUAGAGACAAAAAUGCCUCCAGUAUUCUGAAGUUGAGGGAACAGACACUGUGCCUUUCUCACACCUGAGGACGCAGUGAGUCAUAACAGGAUGCUAAUGUUUGCUGGAAACACCGUCUCUCUGUUCUGUGAAGCCCACCAUCAUUCAUAAUCAGCUGUGCCAUCUCCAGAUGUGUUCUUUUGCUAUAAGUCAUCAACGUGUAGCCUGAGCUGGGAAGCACAUUCAUACUGUUGGACCACCUGUUACUGGAACAGAUCGUGUUCAGGCUUCCCAUGAAAUAUACCCUCCCCUCAACGCCCGGAAGGAAUUUGAGCCUGCAGAAUAGAAGCACUUCUCCGGGCUUAUAGCCUCGUGUUGGUCUGCAGGCAAGAAGAAGAAAGAGACAAAGCACAGGACUUUUGAGAGGUUACCACCAGCACCUGUGGAACAUGGACCAAUGGCUGUUAACAAUCAACCAAGUAACUUUCUCAGGGGUUUGAGGGCUCAGUGUUUCCUAGUUAGUAAUAAUUAUUGCAUCUGUUACUAUUAAUAGUAGAAAUAAACUAUUUAAAUAAAGUGAGAAUUGAUUUUGAUGUAUUGUGUAAGGUGAGGAUAUGAGAUUUUUCUUCCCAAGAGCUAGUUGACUGUACAAAUUUCCAAAUUCUUCUUCUCUCCCAGACAGAUAUAAUUCCCCUUUAAAAAAAUACUUCUGUUUUAGGGCUUACUAUAAAUUUUGUGACUCGAUCUCCAAUUGUGUUGCUAAUGUUAUGCUUUUUACCUUUAUGUGUUUUAGUAGCUUAUAAAACUAGCUUCUGCCACCCACUUGCACUACUAAUUACAUUAUUUAUUGAGAAAUUUCUUUGCUAUUAUUUGCUGGUCAUUCUUUCAGAUAACCUGUUUCUGUAAAGAAUAUAACUUUCUAUCAGUUGAGAAAGUUAUUUUGUCUUUUCUAAUAAUAGCUUUGAUCCUUUGAUCCAUCAAAUGUAUUUGGGACCUGAAAGAGGAUGUAGCUUUUGCUAGGAGAACACUGAAGGUUAAUUGCAUUUGUCUGAUUAUUAUAGACUGUUUUUAACACCUUUAAAAUAUGUGUAUGGGCUUUUUCAUUUAGAAUGUGAACUCAUCCAUCACUCUCUUGUGCUUUAAAAAAUCCCCAAUUUUCUCUCUUGCUGCCAGUGCUUGAGGUCAUUCUUCCACACAGAAAAUCAAAGCUACCAUGAUAAUUCAGAUACAACUACUAUUUGCAAGUACUGAACAGUUGGCACUGUGAUAUACACUAGCAAUACAACCCCUUGCAACAACUUUGUUCGACUAAGCGUGUUACGGAAGGGGAAAUGAACACUCAGAGGAUUUGUUUGGUUACAACUCAAGGAUUUCUGGCUGCCACUCUAGUGGAGUGAUAAUAAGAUGGAUUGUUCUUUAAACUUGAAUUCCUACUAUCAAUGUAGCUUGCUAAAAUGUCAUUGUGUUAGGCAGAACUCUAAUAUUAUGCUCAAUAAGUCUUGCUCUUGUAUAAUUCCCUUCCCUUUGAGUAUGCAGGGACCUUAUGAAUGUGAUGAAAUAUCAGUCCUGUGAUUAUCAUGGUUUUUUCCUUCAGGGAUACCACCAAGUCUUCACAGCGAAGAGUCUGGAAAGAUCCCCUUGUGGCUCUGGAAGGAAGAAGGGAAAAGUAACUAUUUUGAGUAUGCUCAGAGCAUUCUCCAUAAGAAAGUGCUACUCUUUAGGGGAAAAUGCUUUAUCAAAGCCUUAUCCCACCUAGGAAGAAGAGCAUUUACCAAUCUCCAGCCCCCUCUAGCCUUCCUGUCUCACCUGAAAAGGGGGAAAAAAAUCUAAGAGACACUUGUGAAGGUCAUAGCCUGGGGCACUGGCCCACUGAAACCCUGAGAUUUAAUCAUAAGAUUAUAGAAUGCUUCCCCUUCCCAAUACCUUGCCAUCACCUCAACAUGGCUCCUCAAGAAUAAGACUGGAUUACAGCUGGAAGAGCUGCAAGGCUCAGACUCUAUUUAAGAAGGAAUUUCUAGUAAAGCCCAAAGACAACAAGGGGACAAAAACUAGGAUAUUAGAGGAAUUUAAAGCCUCUGGCAACUGCAGCUACAGAAAACAUUAAUCAUGGCUCAAUUGUUAGCCAUGUUAACAUGAAACAACAUAAUAAAGGUUCAGUUCUUAUUACCUGGUGCAUCAUGUCUGGCUUUCAACAAAAAAUGACACGGCAUGUUAAAAAGCAAGAAGAAACACAGUAUCAAGAGACAAAGGAAUCAUCAGAACCAGACUCAGAUAUGAUACAGAUGUUGAAAUUAUCAGACAAGGAAUUUAAAAUAACUAAUUACUAAUAUGUUAAGAGAUCUAAUGGAAAACAUAAUUAACAUGCAAGAAAAGAUGGUUAAUACAAGCAGAGAGACAGAAAUUCUAAGAAAGAAUCAAAAGGAAAUGCUAGAAAUAAAACGUAAUGGAUAUAAAGAAUGCAUUUGAUAGGUUCAUCAGUAGACUGAACAUGGUCAAAGAAAGAAUAAGCGAGCUCCAAGAUAUGUCAAUUGAAGCUUCCUAGACUGGAAUGCAGAAAGCAAAAAACAACAACAACGACAAAAAACCCAGAACAUCCAGGAAUUGUGGGAGAAUUUCAAAAGGUGUAACUUAUGUAUAAUUGGAAUACCAAAAGGAGAAGACAAAGAGAACAGAAGAACUAUCUGAAGUAAUAGUUGCCAAGAAUUUUCCAAAAUUAAUGACAAACAGCAAAGCACAAAUCCAGGAAGCUCAGAGAACAUCAAGCAGGAUAAAUACCAAAUAAAAACAAACCACACACAUGCAUAUCAUAUUCAAAUUACAGAAAACCAAAGACAGAGAAAACUUUGAAAAAAAAACAGGAGGGGGAACACCUUACAUACAGAGGAACAAGGAUAAGAAUUACAGUGGAUGUCUUGUCAGCAACCAUGCAAGGAAGAAGUAGCACUAAGCGAAAUAUUUAAAGUGUUGGGAAGAAAAACCCUACAAACCUAGAAUUCUAUAUCCAGGGAAAUUAUUCUUCAAAAGUGAAGGAGGAAUGAAAACUUUCUCAGACAAACAAACAUUGAGGAAAUUAACAGUAGUAGACCUGCCUUAAAUGAAAUGUUAUAAAGGAUGUCUUUAGGGAAAAGGAAAAUUAUAUAGGCCAGAAACUCUGAUCUACAUAAAGGAAAGGUGUUGGACAUAAAUAAAAGUAAAAUAAAAACUUUUAUGGGGGCUGGCCUGGUGGCGUAGUGGUUGGGUUCGUGCACUCUGCUGUGGUGGCCCGGGGUUUGUGGGUUCGGAUCCUGAGUAGUGAUCUGCACACCACUCAUCAAACCAUGCUGUGGAGGCAUCUCACAUACAAAAUAGAGGAAGAUUGGCAUGGAUGUUAGCUCAGGGACAAUCUUCCUCACCAAAAAACACCUUUUAUUUUUUAUUCUUAAUUGAUCUAGAAGAUAGCUAUUUAAAGUAAUAAUAUUAACACUGUAUUGGCUGAUUAUAAUAUAUGGAUAAGUAAAAUGAAUGACAGAAAUGUCAUAAGAGACCAGUGGUAGGAAUUGGGAACACUCUGUUAUAAGGUACCUUUACUACCCGUGAAGAGGUACAGUUACAGUGUUAUUUGAAUGUAGACUUAGGGUAGUUGUAAAUGCAUAUUGCAAACUCUAAGGCAACCAGUAAAAAUUUUUAAAAAGAAAUAUAAUUGAUAUGCUAAGACAUGAAAUAAAAGGGAAUCAUAUGGAAUGCUCAGUUAAAACCAGAAAAGGCAGAAAAAGAAGGCAAGGAGAAAAAAGAGACAAAGAAAAAGGACAAUUAAAUAAAAAUCAGUUACAAACAUGGCAGGUGUUAAUCGAACUAUAUCAAUAGUCACUUUAAGUGUGAAUAGUCUGAAUAUAUCAAUUAAAAGUCAGGGAUUGUCAGAAUGGAUGAAAAAAGAAAAUCCAUCUGUAUUGUUGUCUACAGGAAAUCCCCUUUUAAGAUAAGGACUGAGGUAGGUUAAAAGUAAAAGCAUGGAAAAGCCUAUUCAGACUAAAUCAAGACAUUCAUUGUACACUUAAUCCAAACCUGUCCUCUACCUUUUUCAGGAUCCUGAAGGAAAAGAAAACCUGGUCAUGUUUUUUGUUUCCUAGAGCUCUACUUUUUUCUUCCAUCAUCUGAGUCUUCCAGAGUCAGUACAGAAAGAAGACUUAAGGAAAAAGGGCAAAGGUCUUUAAAUCUAACUGGUGCUGACCCAUGUGGGCUGGAUAUCAUGUCCCCCACCGAUGCUGAUAUUCAAAUACUGGCACUUUCCUAGGCACAUGUGUGGGCUCCAUGGGAACAUCUGGACUGCAAUUUCUCUACACGGCAAUACACUCCCUGGCUGACCUUUCAUGACGCCUACUUGGUUUCCAUCUCUAGUGGUUUACCCCUGGAGUCUCCUGGCCCUUGCAGGAGACCACCACUGGGUAGAGUAGUUUCAAGAAGGUUUGAGCCUAGCUACCUUCAGGGGUACCUACUUGGCCAGUGGGAAACUCCUCCAUAUUUUUGCCAUAAAAUUUUCUGUAAGUGCAGGCUUCUCUCACCUCUGCCUUGUCUUCCUGUUCCCACUAGCCUCCUGACUUCAGAGUUCUUCAGAUAGAAGAAGGGAGCAGUCCUGUGCUCCCAUUUCCUAACCCUGGGAACAUCCCUCAUGUUCUAAGAAUUCUCCCACUGCGCUCAUCCCUCAUGUGGUGGCCGAACAGAGAUGCUCUGUAAAUGUCUAGAGUUUAGGUGAUGCUCCUUUGGGAGGUCCUCACAGGCGUAGGGCAGGAAAGAGAGAAAAGAGCUAAAUGUUCUCCAUUCUCAUAUAAUCUCUUCACUGAACUCUUGCAAAGAAUCUCCAAUCUUCUCUUAGGAAGGCUGGAGGUAGAUGUUGGGGUGGAGAGGCAAAGGACUAGGUUAGCCAUCUGAGUGGGUCUGUAGAGAUAUAUCUUGCAGCUUUCUUGAGAAAGUGAGGGUACUUGUAGCCCACUCUCCAUAGCUUUAGAGUUUUAGAAGUAUUCUAGGAUGACAUUAUAAAUUUCCUUUCCACUGGGCUUUCUCUCCCUAAGUAAUGUCUGCAACUGAUGAAUAAGUAACUACAUAUAAUAUGUAUUUCUAGGCAAUAUUUAAGAGCUUUACGUGUGUGAACUCAUUUAAUCUUUACUACAACUCAAAGAAGUAUAGAUAUGUUCUCCAUUUUACAAAUGAAUAAAAUAAGAUAAAAAUGGAUUACGCAAUUUGCUCAAAAUUGGCCAACUCGUAAUUGCCAGGGGUGGAACCCAAAUCUCUCUAGUUUGCCUCAAAAUUCAUGCUCUUAACCCAUAAGCCAUCCUGCCACUUCAAUGUGUCAUCAUAGUCCCCGGGGAUUACUUUGUCUAUAAAUAAUUAUGGAAUUUUUGCAUUGCUGACAGGAAGUGUGGAUUAACAGACAAAAGCACUGCAGAGCUGAAGUCUACAUUUUAAAGAGAAUAUUUAAUAAGCAGCAACAAUGUAUGGAGUGCUACUGUGAACCUGCAAUGUCACAGGCAGUGGGACUCUAGCAGAAGACCAAAACGGACCUGAUCUCCAUCCUGAUGGAGCUGACAUUGUGAUGCAGUAUUUCUCAAACUGUUUGUUAUCAUCCAUUACUGGGGGGUAAAAUCAAUGCUGUGUAACAAGACCUACAUUAGUUUUUUAAAAAAUUAAUAUAGAAUGCAAUAUAAAUUAUCAGAGCAUAUCACAUGUACAAGGGUAAGUUUUGUUUCAGUCAUAUAUAUUUCUGUAUGUGCACUGGAUUGCAGUAUGUUUUCUUAUUGCAAUUAUGUUUUUGUGUUGAAAAAAGGCACUGGUCUUCGUAGGACUUUACAUAGCUAAUAUAUUAUUGAUGCCUUCUUUUUACAGAAUAUAGGGAUUUAGGUCAUCUUAGAGAGAUAUACAAAACAGGAAGAUAACAUAAAUUAGAAAAUGAUGUAAAGAAACAAGAAGAUAGUGACAUAUAUUAAAGCCAGAAAUGAGACUAAGCUCUCUCGAAUGCAUUCUUAAAUACUUGCAAACUGGGGGAGUUCAUUUUGGCUUUAAUUUUUGUGGUCAAAUAAAAAGAACAAGAAAGGGAAGGCUGAUCAGUUCCAUCAGUUAUCUAAAAGGUCAACGCUCAGGAGUUACAUCUAGGACUGGUAGGAAGGCCAGAAAGAAGUUUGUCCCCAGGGUUCUCCUUAGGAAGAGACUCUAAAAUGCAACACUUUCUCCAUACAAGUAAACACUCAGUUCCAUGACCAUCUACAGGAGAUUAAUUAAUGUUAUUCCUUUCCUUCCUGUCCUAUUCUAUAAUACUCUCCAGGCUCAGAUACACAAGGGAAAGAAAUGGCAUAAAACCCUUGAGAAAAACAUAGAAGGGUGCCAUUUGAACAUCGAUUAAAAUCAACACAGAUUCCGCACUUGGGAAUUGUCAAGUCUAAAUGAGCUUUCUUAGGAAUUCGUUCUUCAGGCACCAACAAUUUUACUAGCUUUGACAAUAAUCCGUACAAUUUUCAUAGGUAAAUCCAACUUUUGCUUCUUCAACUUAGCAAAAUUUAUAAUCACGGGAAAUAAAAUUUUUUGAAACACAUUCACUAUGAGGUGCAUAAGAACAAAAACUAGCUACUUAAUAAGUAUGCAAAAAUGCAGCCCUAAGUAGUAGAAAAUGAAGUCCAUUUAUCUCUUGUUAUGAGUAUUUCUUAAACCCAGCUCCACAGAUAAAAUGUCAAAUUGCUAACCCUGGUUAUUAGUAAUCAUAAUCAAAUGAUGAUAGAAGCCAACUUCCCCAGGGAGAAAAUGUUUGAAAUUUUGACAGGAUGUAGAACAAAGCUAUUAGAAUGGGCUGCUCUGGGGUUGAUUGGUUGUCAUGAUCUAGAGAAAGUAUUUGGCAGGAUCUUAACUUUCAGAUCUUCAUCCUGCUGCCACCUACAAAUGCACCCGCUUUCUGAGAAGGACAUGGUUAGAAUAUAUGCUAAACGAAUCCGCUUGCUUGAUCACCAGCUGACAUGGAUCCCAAAUCACUAUUUUCACGCCAGUCCUAAUGAUGUAGGCUCCGUGGGAUGCGAGCACGGAGACAGCGGCAGGUCACUCAUUUCAUAGCUCAAUUUCCCAGAUGCUAUCUUAGUCCCCUCUUCUUCCAAGGGUCAACCCAGAGACACAGCGCAGCUGUCUGAAGGAGCAGAAGUCCCUGGGUGCAGAGGGUUUCUAAAGGAGCGGUAUCUGCUCUAGUCCAGUUUCGUUCAAAACUCCCAAGUUAUGGCUCCUUAUGUGCCUUAUGUGGUUAUCCAAUUAGAGCCCCCAAAAACUCCAUUUUUCUUCAAGUUGAUUUUAAGAGCUUCCCCCUGCACGGUACAGAAAGGGAGACAGAAGGAGAUGUGCACACCCCACCUGAAGGCUCAAGUGUGCCUCACACAAUGUUGCCAGAAGAGCCCGGCUUCCAGCAUGGACCAGCUCGCUUGUUUAGAACACAACUCUAAUAAGGGUAAGAGGGGGUGACAUUCAGAUCCCUUAUGCAGCUGGUGAACCCAAUGAGUUUACCUUGGAGGGAGAACAGUCAGGAGCUGACUGCUUUUUUCUCUCCUUGUGGUCCUCAGACAUCUCCAUUGUCAGACUUGCCCCCUGAAAUCAUCUGAGGUCCCAGAGUUUUCAGUCAUGCCUCUUUCCGGUAAUUAGGACUCGUUUUCAGGCUUUAAAACUUCCUAGUCCAUUCCAAUGCAGAAGUUCAACCUUACACUCUUACAGUCAAUAUAAUAAUCUUAUAGUAGUAGCACUUCCAUCCCUUGGCUUCAGAACUUCAGCGGGGUGAUGCAGUCAGAAGGUGGGAAAGACGCAAAGCUCCAGGGGUCCCCGUGAUUGGUGCAGUCGUGGUCCAACAGCAGGUGCCUCUGUGAGGCAGGCGGCACCAGAGGCCCUCUGAGCACAUUUGUGAGUUUCUUUGGGAGGCUUCCUGUGUAGCUUUCUGAAACUCUUGCUUGAUUUCCAGACAGGGCAAAGUACAAUCUUCCCUUUACUUACUCAAUAGUUGCAUUCCUGAAAAAUUAGAGCAUGUUAAGAUGGCGCCAAAAGUACUGGGUAUUUACAUGUAUAAUGGAGUUAAGGUCUGGGUUCGGAGAUUUAUAAAGAGGUUUUUCACCAAUGAGACAUUUGAAGGCUGUAGGGGAAGUGGGACGCUUCUCUGUCCUGAGCAUUGCAGAUGUCAAGUAUCCCCACCUCCUCCCACUAAAUGUCAGAGACAGCACUCCCACCCCCUCAUCCUGGUGACGGCCAAAAUUACCCCCUCAUAUUUCCAGAAAUGCCCCAGCGGGGAAUUGUACUGCCCUCAGUGAGCCCUCUAGCCCCUACUUUUUGAACAUGGGACACUUAUCGCCUCCUGUCCUCAACUCUGAGCUUUUAGCUGAAUCUCGAGACAGGAGUCCGGACUAAGAAAAUCCCUACUAGGGGUUUUAGAUUAAACUAUACUUACUGUGCUAAGCACUACAUAUAAAUUCUUGUAAAAUUGUGUUAGGUUAAAUUUCAGCAAAUGAGGAAACUCAGAACAGUUAAAUAACUUAUCUGAGGUCAUUCAGCUAAUAAAUAGCAGCAUCAGAAUUUGAAUCACAGGCUUCUGAUCUAAUACAUUUAAAUAACUAAAUUGGAUUUUUGUAAGAAAGAACAAAGAAAAAACAAUAAUCACAUUAUAAAAUGGAGCCAUGAUAAAGUUUAUAUUCGUAAAAUGCUUGCCAUAAAGUUCAACAUACUGCCUAAGGCUGGACCACAAAUUUUCCUCUGAAAUAAAAACAGGGAAACAUUUUCAACUACACCAUUCACAAACUCACAAAGUUAAACUAAAGAGAAUCACUUUCCCUAACUUUAAGCCUACCUUUCUUUCUGAAAUUCUGUGGUCCAAAUUAUCUAUUGCCCCCAUUUGGCAUUUAGUCCAUAUUAGCUUGUACAGCUAUUUAUCUCUUUACUGAAAAUUCAGUAAAUUUGACCUUUUGAGAAUUUUCCUUGGGCUCAUUUUGAAAGGUACUGUAGAAUGUUGAUUUUGUGAAAAAUGAUGAUGAUCCUAGCUCCCUAAGCUGUCUGGAGCCUGCUCUCCAUCCUCAGCGUUACUCACUGGUAUCCUGACUAUCUCCUCAGCUCUGGCAUGGCUCCAAACUGUCCCCCACAUUGCUGCUAAAUUCUUCUUUCUAAAAUGCACGUCUAACUGUACCUCUUAUCUGCUUCAACUAUUCCAGUGAGUUCUUAAUAGCAAUAGGAUAAAGGCUAAACCCUCACAGCGUGGCGGUAAACUUUUCUAUGACUCUCUGGUUCCUGAUUAUUCCAGUCUAAUCCUAUGCCCGCUCAUACCCAACAUUACCAUCUAUUGAACAACUUUGUGCACAGCAAAGCUUUUUGGACCUGGAGCAACUUGCUCAUGCUGUUCUUCUUGCUUGGAAUACCCUUCAUAUCCCAUGCUCCCGUUACAUAUGUCUUCCUUGCUUCGCUCAAGCAUCAUUGCAUUAGUGAGGUUUCAAUUACUAUAGGCUAGGUAGUAAAUAAGCCCCCCCAGUUUUGGUGGACCACAAUGAUAAUCACUUAUCUUGUAAGAGAGCAAAAAGGGGCUCGUUCUGCUUGCCACAAUCUGGUGCCAAUCAAUUGCAAACAAUCCGGUGGUUGAGAAAGGCAAAUUGAUAUGAUUAGCCAGCAUAAUCGGAAGAUGAUGGACUAGUGCCCUGAAGAACCAUCUUAAAAUCAUAAGACUCCUGAGGCAGUUGUAGAGGGGAAAUGGGCGGGGAAGGCGGGGAGUUGGGGAAAUCGAUUAUCUGGUGUGAUGAAAUUCAAGGCACCACAUUAUCUCUUUCUUCUGUCAUUCGUGAUGGGUACCAAUGCAGCAAUUUUCUUUCUGGAGGUCGUAGUGUUCCUGGGGAACUCAGAGAACAAAGCUGUCUUACCACAGCUGGGAGAUAUAUGUAAGCAAGACUCAUAGAAUUAGCAGAUCGUGUAUUUUGUAAAAGCAAAAGGUGCUUAAUCAUCUAGGCUACCUGCAGGUUGGAAUGUAUUCACAGAGACUAGUGAGUCAGGGUCAUGGUUACAAUAUUGCUUCUUUUCCCUAAGAUGGCUUCCCUCAUGUUAACUUAAGAUCUAGUGGUUACAAUUUCAUGCUCACAGGUUUGCAGGUCAGCCAAGGGAGCUCUGUGAGGCUGUGGGUCAGGUUUAUAUUUGCUCCUCGUAUCUCUCAUUAUGGGACCUAGGGCUACCCACGGCCUAUUUUUCUUCUGGUGGAUGGUAGGUCAAGAGCAGCAGUCAAUCACCAAAGCACAUUUAAAGCUCUUUAACAUUCUGUUGCCCCAUGCAAGUCACAUGGCCAAGCACAAAGUCAAUGGGUUGGAAAAGUAUACUCUGCCUCUUCAACAGUCAGAGUCACAGUAACGUCUCACGGAAACUGGUGUGGAUGCCUAAUUCUGUUAUGGAGAAGUAGUGAAGACCUGGGAACUAGAAUUCAAUUGGUCCUAAUCAUCUCUAUGAAGCUUUCUCUAACUAUCCCAAGUCCUUGAUAAAAUGAUCACUCCUUUCUUUGUGGACCCACUCACAACAGACAUAAUUCUAUAAUAGCAUCUUUAACAUAUUUAAUAAACUCCCUUCUUUAAGUGUCUGUCCUCCUCUAUUACAUGGUAAAAUCUCAUUUUAUUCACCUUUGUGUUUUUCAAGUUUAUCACAGACCGUGGCACACAUCAAUAAAUAGUUGUUGAAUUAAUUAUUUAAUUUUUAACUAAGUACAUUGAGCAAAAGAGUGUAAAGCACAAAGAGGAUAAAGUAUUAAGAGUAUAAAGUAUAAGAGUAUAAAGAAUCUAAAUGGACCAUGAAAAAUCUCAACCACAAAUAGGAAAACAAGUUGUAGAUCAUUCAAUCAAGUUCAUAAAGAGAGGAGGCCCGUUGAUUACCCAUCUGUCUUUGAAAGCAUGAUAUAAAGAUGUCCAAGGCAAAGACUGUUGGGAGUAUGUGUCUGGUUUCCUGUGAGCACGUGGGGCAAUUGCUUAAGACUGGUUUGAUCCAGAUGUGGUGGACCUGCUGCUGUGGGCGGGAAGGGAGCUCUUGCCCAGGGAAAGUGUGGUGAGAGUCUGUUAGAAGGAGGAAACCUCAAAGGAAAAACGGUUCUGAGACCUUAUUUACGACAACGUUUUGUGUAGCCCUUUAAGUGGGGAAGUGGCUACUUUUUAAACAAAAAUUGGUCUGUUGAAAAAAGAAAAAAAAGGGACAUUGGUCAUUUGUUCUUGUAGAUCAUGCAACAAACAAAAAUGUCUCUGAAAGAAUGCAUGGUGUUUAUUUAUAAGAUGGGAUUAAAUUUGUGAAACUUCAGUUUAAUUAAAAUUAUUUUUCAUAUUUGCAACCGUCCACAACAUAUCUGUACAUGAACACAGAGGUGACGAGGAAGAAU
ensembl:lncRNA